rnacentral:rRNA from 1 species
AUUGAACGCUGGCGGCAGGCUUAACACAUGCAAGUCGAGCGGGGGAAGGUAGCUUGCUCCUGAUUCAGCGGCGGACGGGUGAGUACAGCCUAGGAAUCUGCCCGGUAAUGGGGGAUACCGUUCCGAAAGGAACGCUAAUACCGCAUACGUCCUACGGGAGAAAGCAGGGGAUCUUCGGACCUUGCGUUAUCGGAUGAGCCUAGGUCGGAUUAGCUAGUUGGUGAGGUAAUGGCUCACCAAGGCGACGAUCCGUAACUGGUCUGAGAGGAUGAUCAGUCACACUGGAACUGAGACACGGUCCAGACUCCUACGGGAGGCAGCAGUGGGGAAUAUUGGACAAUGGGCGAAAGCCUGAUCCAGCCAUGCCGCGUGUGUGAAGAAGGUCUUCGGAUUGUAAAGCACUUUAAGUUGGGAGGAAGGGCUUAAGGCUAAUAUCCUUGAGUUUUGACGUUACCGACAGAAUAAGCACCGGCUAACUCUGUGCCAGCAGCCGCAGUAA